rnacentral:tRNA from 1 species
AAAGGGAGACCUAAUUCGGGUAGGAGACGAAAAAAAAGUAGUCCCUACCAAGAAUCAAUCCCAAAAGGUCGGAGCGAGGCGAAAUUGGCUUUCAAACUAGGUUCUGGGUUCACACAAGACCUGAAUCAGGAACAAGGGCUAUUAGCUCAGGUGGUUAGAGCGCACCCCUGAUAAGGGUGAGGUCCCUGGUUCGAGUCCAGGAUGGCCCACCUGCACAGGUGGCAAAAAGAAAGAAAAGAAGCGAGGAAUCAGCACCUUAUCUUACUUAUAUAGUAAGAGAGAAUGCUGGCUCUGAGUUCAGAGUCCAGAGGAACCUUGAAAACUGCAUAGAGCUAGGUGAAAAAGCCAAAAAAGAAGACCGCAAG